AGCAGUGCCGCGGUAAUACAGAGGGUGCGAGCGUUAAUCGGAUUUACUGGGCGUAAAGCGUGCGUAGGCGGCUUCUUAAGUCGGAUGUGAAAUCCCUGAGCUUAACUUAGGAAUUGCAUUCGAUACUGGGAAGCUAGAGUAUGGGAGAGGAUGGUAGAAUUCCAGGUGUAGCGGUGAAAUGCGUAGAGAUCUGGAGGAAUACCGAUGGCGAAGGCAGCCAUCUGGCCUAAUACUGACGCUGAGGUACGAAAGCAUGGGGAGCAAACAGGAUUAGAGACCCCCGUAGUCCCUGUCUCUUAUACC
rnacentral:rRNA from 1 species